GGGUGACUAGGCCUACUGAAUCAAUUUAAAAUUGAUAACAUAAGGGAAAAUAAUGAUAUUACCUUAUUAUUAGUGUCGUCCAAAACUGGUGCCAGAAGACUCGGUAAGGCCAGAGACACAAACGUUAAUCGUCUUAAUCAGGCGUAAAGGGUUUGUAGGCGGCUUUUAAUUUUCUUAUAAUAUUUUUUUAAAAUUAAAUAAGUUAAGAAUAAAAGCUAGAAUCAAAUAGAGGAUAUAUCAAAUAAUGCUUAGAGUAGGUCUGAUAUCCAUAGAUACUAAGUAGAAUAUUAAAGGCGAAAGCUUUUUUCCAUAAAUGAUUGACGCUCAGAAACGAAGGUGAGGAUAGGAAAUAGGAUUAGAUACCCAAAAUACCCCUCUCUGUCAACGAUGAAUGGUAAUUAUUAAUAAUAAAUUUAUUAUUAAUGAUAAUGUUAACACGAUAACCAUUCCGCCUUGUGAGUACAACUGCAAAGUUGAAAACAAAAAAAUUAGUCGGUUUCGGAGCAAACGAAGUGAAGCAUGUUAUUUAAUUCAA
rnacentral:rRNA from 1 species